rnacentral:lncRNA from 1 species
CCACAUAUAGUUUUUUUAUAUUUGGAUUAAAUUGCUUAUCCAAAAAAGUUCCGGCUGGUAUUUCUAUUUAUAUGUUUAGAUGGUCCAAGAGUACCCACUGGUGGACUUCAGGCGGAGUCGAAUGAGAAAAGCAAUCCCCAGUGGACAACUACUGAGGUAAGUACUUACAAUUAUCUCCAAAUUUACAGUUCCCAUGUAACAUCUGGGAAGAAUCCUGAUUCGAUUUUAAUGCUGAUUUUGAAUCUCUUUUACCCAAAACACUACCCAUUUUAAACAUACAGCCGCAUGAACGUCCCAAAGUGUAUUGAAUCAUUAUAUUACAUUAGAGAUCACAUAAUUGAAGAUCCACGCACACAUUGAUUCUUAGAUUCAACACAAGAUCAAAAUAUUCAUAUAUUCAUUAAUUGAUUCAUCAUUGGUACAGCCUUGUUAUAAGUUAAGAGAGUAUCCUUUGAAAGCUAUAUUCAUAUUUCAAUAUCACUUGCUUCAACAGACAGAUCAAAGCACAGAGAGAUCAAAUACAUAAACAAUGCCUUACCUUUGCUACUCAGCCUUCAGAGUUAUGGAGUUUUUGGAAAAGGCGCUUGGAGUUCUUGCUCUCAAGGAGGAGAUUCAUUCUUGUUGACCCACAUGGAAGAAAAGUGGCUUAGAAUUCUAAGAAGUGUGGGUGUGCACAAUCAAAGGAGUUUCUCG